GACGAACGCUGGCGGCGUGCUUAACACAUGCAAGUCGAACGGAAAGGCCCUGCUUGUGUGGGGUGCUCGAGGGGCGAACGGGUGAGUAACACGUGAGUAACCUGCCCUUGACUUUGGGAUAACUUCAGGAAACUGGGGCUAAUACCGGAUAGGAGCUCCUGCUGCAUUGGGGGGGUGGGAAAGUUUCGGCGGUUGGGGAUGGACUCGCGGCUUAUCAGCUUGUUGGUUGGGUAGUGGCUUACCAAGGCAUUGACGGGUAGCCGGCCUGAGAGGGUGACCGGCCACAUUGGGACUGCGAUACGGCCCAGACUCCUACGGGAGGCAGCAGUGGGGAAUCUUGCCCAAUGGGCGGACGCCUGAUGCAGAAACGCCGCGUGCGGGAUGACGGCCUUCGGGUUGUAAACCGCUUCCGCCUGUGACGAAGCGUGAGUGACGGUAAUGGGUAAAGAAGCACCGGCUAACUACGUG
rnacentral:rRNA from 1 species